CCUACGGGGGGCAGCAGUGAGGAAUAUUGGUCAAUGGGCGCGAGCCUGAACCAGCCAAGUAGCGUGAGGGAAGACGGUCCUAUGGAUUGUAAACCUCUUUUAUCGAGGAGCAAAAGACGCCACGCGUGGCGUUCCGAGAGUACCCGAAGAAAAAGCAUCGGCUAACUCCGUGCCAGCAGCCGCGGUAAUACGGAGGAUGCGAGCGUUAUCCGGAUUUAUUGGGUUUAAAGGGGGCGGAGGGGGUUUGUUAAGUCAGUGGUCAAAGUCGGGGGCUCAACCCCGGGCCGGCAGUUGAAACGGGCAGUCUCGAGUUGGAGAGAAGUAUGCGGAAUGCGCGGUGUAGCGGUGAAAUGCAUAGAUAUCGCGCAGAACUCCGAUUGCGAAGGCAGCAUGCUG
rnacentral:rRNA from 1 species